rnacentral:lncRNA from 1 species
CUCCAGCCUACUUGCCUGCCCGGGGGUUUAGCUGAAUAUUAAUCACCACACACUGGACUGCGUGAAUGACAGUGCCCAGGUCUGCUGCGCCUUGCAUCCCUGAGGCACUAGGGGCAAGCGCCCACAAUGUUCAGAAGAUCCCGGCAUGGUGGGGAUGUUUUAGUACUUCCAUUUCAGAAGUGGCUGAACUCAAGCAGAGCGAGAUGAAGUGGUAUGUCUUGUCCCUGAGCCAGUGGGUGGCAGAACCAAGGCUGGACCACAGUAGUCGCCCUGCUUGGAGCCUCAGGAUGGAAACGGAGACUGAAGCAGGCAAUGAAAGGCCAGCUUGCAGAGGAGACGGAGCGGCCUGGGACAGUGUCAAGGCCCCUCAGCGUUGCCAGCAGGAUCUCCCCUUCAGUAAACCAUGAGGGGUCACUGGGUGGUGUUUCUUUCUUGGCACAGCUGCAGAUAUGGUCCAUUGCUUCUGUUAUGCUCUGCUAACAUUGUUUUCCUAGUGACUUUAGUGUUGAUCUAACAUAACCGUUACAUCUUAUUCCCGUUCUAAGAUGAAGUGUAAUAUAAGGGAGGCCUGUUUUUCAUUAGCAUUGAAUUUGCUGCACAGGAACUUUCUUUAACACAGUUCAUAAUGGGGCGAGGAGGUGGGAGGCAGGUUUAGUUAUUACCUUUGUUUCCUCUGCUGUAGGCUUCUCUGCAGAGCUCUGCCUUCUCUCCCAGGGGCCAGGAACUAAUUCCUCCAUACCCCUGCACUCCUGAGCCUCUCUUUAGAAGAGACUUCCAAUCAUGACAAAUUAUCUGUGCUGAUUUUGUGACAUGAACUGUUACCCAUUAGGGAAUGAACUGACACCAAUAAAUUCAUUUCACUUACAACCUCA